GAUGAACGCUGGCGGCGUGCCUAAUACAUGCAAGUCGAGCGAACAGACGAGGAGCUUGCUCCUCUGACGUUAGCGGCGGACGGGUGAGUAACACGUGGAUAACCUACCUAUAAGACUGGGAUAACUUCGGGAAACCGGAGCUAAUACCGGAUAAUAUAUUGAACCGCAUGGUUCAAUAGUGAAAGACGGUUUUGCUGUCACUUAUAGAUGGAUCCGCGCCGCAUUAGCUAGUUGGUAAGGUAACGGCUUACCAAGGCAACGAUGCGUAGCCGACCUGAGAGGGGGAACGGCCACACUGGAACUGAGACACGGUCCAGACUCCUACGGGAGGCAGCAGUAGGGAAGCUUCCGCAAUGGGCGAAAGCUUGACGGAGCAACGCCGCGUGAGUGAUGAAGGUCUUCGGAUCGUAAAACUCUGUUAUUAGGGAAGAACAAAUGUGUAAGUAACUAUGCACGUCUUGACGGUACCUAAUCAGAAAGCCACGGCUAACUACGU
rnacentral:rRNA from 1 species